UACGAAGGGGGCUAGCGUUGUUCGGAAUCACUGGGCGUAAAGGGCGCGUAGGCGGCCGAUCAAGUCGGGGGUGAAAGCCUGUGGCUCAACCACAGAAUUGCCUUCGAUACUGUUUGGCUUGAGACCGGAAGAGGUUAGUGGAACUGCGAGUGUAGAGGUGAAAUUCGUAGAUAUUCGCAAGAACACCAGUGGCGAAGGCGGCUGACUGGAUCGGUACUGACGCUGAGGGUGGCGAAAAGC
rnacentral:rRNA from 1 species